rnacentral:lncRNA from 1 species
AUGUAUGUAUCUCAUGUUCUCUCUUCCAGAAUCAGUCAUCAGCGGCCACAUCAUCCUUGUGAACCUGGGAGACACCGCUUUUGUGGUUUCCAGGUUUUGUCUCUAUUGUCUUCACCAGAGGGGCACCUGGGGUGCCUUCCUUGGCACAGACUGAGGGACACCGUGGAGAGAAGAUGGAGUGUGCACCAAAUAUCCCAACAUUCAAUCUCUGAACAAUGUGCUGGGUACAAGGACUGCCACACUAUUACUCAGAAAUUCUGGUCAGAAUUCAAUGUAAUAGGCCAAAAUAAACUGUGGUGCCAUUUAAUUAAUAUUUUUGGGGACAAAGUUGGCCUGGUUUAGCAGACUGGGUCUUUGAAAACAGUUUUGAUUUCCAGUGGGAGCCAAAAGGAGGGGAAAAAAAGAAAUUGUCCAUCUAAGCCAAAGGAUAAAAAAAGGCAUGGGAAAAUCAAAAUUAUACAUUCUCCCUUCAGUUAAAUAAGACUGUAGUUGCAGAGUACACACACACACACACACACACACACUCCUUGAUGCAUCAAGAGCUGUUUAAGAAUAGAAAGUACAAAGUGCACUGAAGUGAAAUCUCAAUUUUAGUUGUUUUUCUGCUGCAGGCAAUGAGAUUUGGAGCUGUGCCAUAUAAUUCAGUGCACAAAUACUAAACCUGAGGUAUUGGCUUUUAUAAACAGAAGAUGGAAAAGACUCAGGCUCUGUAGAUCUGCUUCAGAACAACUCAUUGCCAAUGUUAUCAACAAGCCCACACCUCAAACCAAACACAGCACCAUGGAGCAGUCUCAUCCAACACUCAAACACAUGCUGAGGAAAUCUCCUAUAGAUUCACUAAUGGAUCUGUCAUCUCCCUGUGCAUGUGCCUGGCAUCCUUGGGCAUUCCGGCUGCCAUCAGACACUUGCCACUCUGCACCAAAAAUCUACCUGAAGGUGACCUCAACAUAUUCCUGGGCUCCACCAGCUUUAGGGUCUGGAUCUCCACAGGAGCCUGAACUCUAGACCACAGACAGGCACAUACUGGGUUUUUUGUUUGUUUGUUUGUUUUCCUUUCAAGAAAUAAACACUGAGUGACAUCAAAGCCACUCCCAGGUAGCCAAGACAUCCCAUCCAAUGGGAAUUAGAACUUAAUUAGAACCUAAAGCCUGUUGGUGACUUAUCCUUUCUUGGAGCUGGGACAGCCCACAGAAUCCCAAAGGACACAAGCUCAUAUUUAGACAACCCAGUUAAAUGUCCUUAUGAUCACCUACAAUGAGAUGUUUGAGUUGGAACAACAGAAGAGCAAUGUGUUACCAGCUGUAUUACAGGUCUGUAAGACUUCAGAGAAGCAGUUUUAGUUUCUCAUUUUUCCUUUUGCAGUUUACAGGGAGUAAUAAAAACUUCUUAAAUUUAGCUGAAGAAGAUGAGACAGAAGUUAAAUCCUUAAUGUAAGUGAAAUGAAAGUUUUAUGGCAUUUCUAUAUAUUACAUCAACGAGGUAACUGUUAGUCUUGAAGCCUUAAACAUAUCGAGCUUUAUUGUGUCCUGUUUGGAGACUAGUAGUAAUUCUUACAAUUGCCCUCCACUAUUUUCCUGACUUGUAGCAACGAUAUAUUCUAGAUCUACUCUGGAAAAAAGAAAUUUAAAGUAAAAAGAAAAAUAAAUUAAUGGUGUCAAUCCCUCAUUUAUCUUCUGGACAAGUGUGUUUGUUUUUUUUUCUUUUAUUUGCAGUGUUACUUACACUUUUUUCCAUUAUUGAUC